AUUGAACGCUGGCGGCAGGCCUAACACAUGCAAGUCGAACGGUAACAGGAAACAGCUUGCUGUUUCGCUGACGAGUGGCGGACGGGUGAGUAAUGUCUGGGAAACUGCCUGAUGGAGGGGGAUAACUACUGGAAACGGUAGCUAAUACCGCAUAACGUCGCAAGACCAAAGAGGGGGACCCUCGGGCCUCUUGCCAUCGGAUGUGCCCAGAUGGGAUUAGCUUGUUGGUGGGGUAACGGCUCACAAAGGCGACGAUCCCUAGCUGGUCUGAGAGGAUGACCAGCCACACUGGAACUGAGACACGGUCCAGACUCCUACGGGAGGCAGCAGUGGGGAAUAUUGCACAAUGGGCGCAAGCCUGAUGCAGCCAUGCCGCGUGUAUGAAGAAGGCCUUCGGGUUGUAAAGUACUUUCAGCGGGGAGGAAGGGAGUAAAGUUAAUACCUUUGCUCAUUGACGUUACCCGCAGAAGAAGCACCGGCUAACUCCGUG
rnacentral:rRNA from 1 species